rnacentral:rRNA from 1 species
GACCUGCGGAGGGAUCAUUACUGAGUUUACGCUCUAUAACCCUUUGUGAACAUACCUAUAACUGUUGCUUCGGCGGGUAGGGUCUCCGCGACCCUCCCGGCCUCCCGCCUCCGGGCGGGUCGGCGCCCGCCGGAGGAUAACCAAACUCUGAUUUAACGACGUUUCUUCUGAGUGGUACAAGCAAAUAAUCAAAACUUUUAACAACGGAUCUCUUGGUUCUGGCAUCGAUGAAGAACGCAGCGAAAUGCGAUAAGUAAUGUGAAUUGCAGAAUUCAGUGAAUCAUCGAAUCUUUGAACGCACAUUGCGCCCGCCAGCAUUCUGGCGGGCAUGCCUGUUCGAGCGUCAUUUCAACCCUCAAGCUCUGCUUGGUGUUGGGGCCCUACAGCUGAUGUAGGCCCUCAAAGGUAGUGGCGGACCCUCCCGGAGCCUCCUUUGCGUAGUAACUUUACGUCUCGCACUGGGAUCCGGAGGGACUCUUGCCGUAAAACCCCCCAAUUCUCCAAAGGUUGACCUCGGAUCAGGUAGGAAUACCCGCUGAACUUAAGC